GUUUCUGUUGUUAGAAGAGAAUGUACAUGUGAAAUACCAGGAAUUGUAAAGAUACUUGCCAUUACAAGGGUUCAUAGUAAGUAUUCUUAAAGAGUUUUCAUUAGAAAGUCAAGAAAAUUUGAUAAACAGAACAGUAAUUAAGAAUGAAGGAUUUUGACAACUGCAUGUUUGAAUUUGAUAAUGUUUUACUCCUGAAAAAAACACCUUCUUGAAAUUUUUGUGUACUCGAUUUUUUUUUCAUCGCCAUAUCGUACCUAUAAUUUUGAUCAAAAUUAUAAUAAAAAAAACAGCAUGAUGGUUGUUUUUAUACAAUUAUUGUUCUAUAUGGUUAUGGCCUGUUAUCUAUUUCUUGCAUUGGGAGAUAUAUCUCGUAUCACACUCCUUGAAAACUUCGUUUCUUUGAUUAGAUUAUCUAGUAUCAUUUGACGAUAUUAUGGCAUUUCAAUUGGCUAUUCCUUAUGUCAUUCAGACGAUUUACCAUGGCAACGAAUAUUUGUGAAUUCUUCAAUUAUAUACAAAACACUCAUAUCUUCCUCUGGAAAUCCGGUAUUUGUCAAAUUAUAUUUCAUUCAGAAAUUUACAAAAAUGAAAUGUCUAAUUUUAAAGUUUUACGCAGUAAAAGGAUAUCUGACAUCUUACAGGCAUGUGAAAAAUACUAGACCAACGAUUCGCGGAAUUUUUAAUACAACACAAAUAAAUUACCUAUACGAGGGCUCGUUCACGUGCAAGACCACCAAUUCAACCACUCCGAUUUAGAAAUUAGCUCUACCCUAACAAAACAUAAUGCUUUUGAUAUCAUUGUUUACUUAAACUAACCAACAAAUUUGCAGAAAUGAAACUUUUGUUGAAAGAGAAACAUUUUUAGACCAUUUUGAGCCAAAACUAACUUCAGUCCAUGAGUUUGCUUUUCAAAUUGAGGAUGUACUUGUCUUCUGAACAAUUGUAUUUAGCUAGAUGACUUUACCCAUAGGUUGAAAAUUGGCAAGCAGAAGGUGAUAAAUGUACAAUUCAAUAUAUACCUGGAUCAUAUGAAGUUAAACUUAAAUGUAAAAUAUUUAGAUAGCUGUGAAAGUUGCAAAAUUUGAUUGAAUAGAUAGGGAUUCUGAAUUGGUGGAUUGACACCUUUAGAAUUAUAUUGAAAUUAAAAUCCCGCGAUAUCCAAUUCUCGCUCGUUAUGAGACCUAUACAUAUAAUGCCUUUAAAUUGCCGCACUACAUGCUUACAAUUUGAAUGUACACUUACUAACCAUUUUCGCUAACUGUGUUCACUAUUAUACAUUCUUUUAGAUACCACUGUUUUGGAGCCGUUCACAGUUACAAUAGAACUGACAGUAUGUGUUAUAUGACGGUUGCAAUUCGAUUACUAUUGGCGCAAACUAUUGCUGCUGUGAAGAAUAUAAAGGUCUUACACACCGUGAUA
rnacentral:lncRNA from 1 species